rnacentral:rRNA from 1 species
UACGGGGGGGGCAAGCGUUGUUCGGAAUUACUGGGCGUAAAGGGCUCGAUAGGUGGCCAACUAAGUCGAGACGUGAAAUCCCUCGGCUUAACCGGGGAACUGCGUCUGAUACUGGAUGGCGUUGAGUGUGGGAGAGGGAUGCGGAAGUUCCAGGUGUAGCGGUGAAAUGCGUAGAUAUCUGGAGGAACACCGGUGGCGAAGGCGGCAUCCUGGACCAUUACGUGACACUGAAUAGCGAAAGCCAGGGGAGCAAACGGGAUUAGAAAACCC